rnacentral:rRNA from 1 species
GUGAACCCCGGUGCUGCAGGUGCGGUGAUGUGGAGGAUGCAAUGGUUAUCCUGAGUUAUUGGGUUUAAAGGGUCCGUAGGCUGACUUAGAAGUCAGUGGUGAAAGCGUGUCGCUUAACGAUAGAACUGUCAGUGAUACUGUAAGUCUUGAGUAUAUUUGAGGUAGCUGGAAUAAGUAGUGUAGCGGUGAAAUGCAUAGAUAUUACUUAGAACACCAAUUGCGAAGGCAGGUUACCAAGAUAUAACUGACGCUGAGGGACGAAAGCGUGGGGAGCGAACAGGAUUAGAUACCCGUGUAGUC